GAACUGGUUAAUACAGCAGGGGAGGCAAACAGGUGUCAAAAUACGUCCACGUCAAAACUUUACAAACCCAGACAAAACCGAGAUCAAGAACAUGAAGCAUUGGCCAAAGGAAAUAAGAGGCAGAAAAUGGGAAACAAUGAACCUAGUACAA